rnacentral:rRNA from 1 species
GGGGUAAGAGCCUACCAAGACGAUGACGCGUAGCGGGUUUGAGAGGAUGAUCCGCCACACUGGUACUGAGACACGGACCAGACUCCUACGGGAGGCAGCAGUGAGGAAUAUUGCACAAUGGGGGAAACCCUGAUGCAGCAACGCCGCGUGGAGGAUGACGCAUUUCGGUGUGUAAACUCCUUUUAUAUGUCAAGAAAAUGACGGUAGCAUAUGAAUAAGCACCGGCUAACUCCGUGCCAGCAGCCGCGGUAAUACGGAGGGUGCAAGCGUUAUUCGGAAUCACUGGGCGUAAAGGACGCGUAGGCGGGUUGGAAAGUCAGGUGUGAAAGCCUACAGCUUAACUGUAGAACUGCACUUGAAACUCCCAACCUAGAGUAUGGAAGGGGCAGAUGGAAUUAGUGGUGUAGGGGUAAAAUCCGUAGAUAUCACUAGGAAUACCGAAAGCGAAGGCGAUCUGCUGGGACAUUACUGACGCUAAGGCGUGAAAGCGUGGGGAGCAAACAGGAUUAGAUACCCUGGUAGUCCACGCCCUAAACGAUGAACACUAGUCGUCGGGGUACUAGUUACUUCGGUGAUGCACUUAACAGAUUAAGUGUUCCGCCUGGGGAGUACGGUCGCAAGAUUAAAACUCAAAGGAAUAGACGGGGACCCGCACAAGUGGUGGAGCAUGUGGUUUAAUUCGAAGAUACGCGAAGAACCCUUACCUAGCCUUGACAUUGAGAGAACACUCUAGAGAUAGAGUGGUGCCCUUCGGGGAGCUUGAAAACAGGUGCUGCACGGCUGUCGUCAGCUCGUGUCGUGAGAUGUUGGGUUAAGUCCCGCAACGAGCGCAACCCUCGUCCUUAGUUGCCAGCAGUUCGGCUGGGCACUCUAAGGAGACUGCCUUCGUAAGGAGGAGGAAGGUGAGGACGACGUCAAGUCAUCAUGGCCCUUAUGGCUAGGGCUACACACGUGCUACAAUGGGGCGUACAGAGUGUUGCGAUACCGCGAGGUGGAGCUAAUCACUUAAAGCGUCUCUCAGUUCGGAUUGGAGUCUGCAACUCGACUCCAUGAAGCUGGAAUCACUAGUAAUCGUAGAUCAGCAAUGCUACGGUGAAUACGUUCCCGGGUCUUGUACUCACCGCCCGUCACACCAUGGGAGUUGAUUUCACCCGAAAUCGGG